GCGCGCUUAGUGGGAGAGAAAAAAUUGUUGAACCUCUUCAGUCCAAGAGUACUGAAAAAUUCUAUCACCGUAGAUUCAACAGAGUUCCCACGGUUGAUCAGUGUGAUUUGGAAGACCCUGUGUGUAUAUACGAAGCAGACCAGCAAUAUUACCGAGACAAACAAGUUGACAGCAAUAUUGUGAAAUUUUUGAGGCAGAGGAAGAUGGAGUGCAUUGCAUGGGAAGGACCCGACCACCGUUACAAGUGCAGAAAGAUUACUGAGGACUAUGAGCAGGCUGCUACAAACUGGUUCAUAAAAUAUGGAGACAUCAGGACUCACCGCGGCUCCAUUGAAGCUUUCAUGAAACAAAAACAUCGCCUUAUCUGGGAAAGAAGAAACCCAGACAAGCAACUUCAUUGAUAGCUCAAUGGUUGUAGUGUGUUUCCCUUUCGUGUGAUAAUGAAACUGUUUUGUUUUUACUUAGUAUGUCAAAUGUGCCAGCUGUAGGAAAUACAGUAGGGUAUUCUGUUUCGAUGUCAAUAAAGACAGUUGUGUGAAGGAUGAAUAUAUGUAGUUGUUAUGUUUGUUAUAGUUAUAGAGUCCAAAGUUUUUGGUCAUUUAGGAACUUAUGCAUUACAGUAGAUUUUAUUUAAAACAAAAUUCCUGUCUCCUCAAAAGGAUUUCAAAAGCCUGGUUCCCCCACGCCCCCUCAUCUUUAUUCUGUGCAUUGCAUGAUCCCCUUUUGAAGUUUGUGUAAUCAGGGUUUUAUUGUGUUAGAUUGAUUUUUAAAAAGAUACUAAUUGUUGAUGCUGUAUUUAACUUUGCACUCAGUAUCAGUCACUGAUUGUGUGACAGAGUUCAAGAGUUUGAUCCCUGGAAAAAAGUCAGAAUCGGUAUUCUUCCAACUAACAAAAUUACUUUCGAAAAAGAGGCCUCAAGCUCAAUGUUGUGAAAGUUUACCCUUGGGGAUUGUUUGACUGCAGGCAUUGGUGGUGGUUAAAUGGUCAGAUUUUCUCUUUGUGUUUAAAAGACACGAGUUUUAUUCCCAAAUAGGGGAAAUGUCUUAUAUUGAGUUUGAGUGUCUCCAUCUUUCCGCUGGGGCAUAUUUUACCUCGGCUCCAGUUAAUUGUGACUGUAUUGAUGGGGACAUAAAACAUUUACAAUCAAAGCCUCUCCCCACCAAGUCCUGAUGCAAAAGAUUCUGAUUGCUUCCUACUGUUUUCACAGAUAAUAUGUAUUGCUUUGCAUAGCCUCGUCGUGCGACAGAAAUAUCAUACUAUUAACAGUUGGUUUAACUGGGGACACAGUGGGUGGUAUUUGCGUUGAUUGUUUGUUUCGUAAACCUUUUUUUUUCCUUGGCAAACAUCUCUGGCAGGAGCUUAUUUGUAAGAAUGUUGUUCGCAAACUAGGAAACAGAUUACAGAAUAAAAGCUCUCGGAAUGUUUUACUGUAUCUGAACAUU
rnacentral:misc_RNA from 1 species